rnacentral:sRNA from 1 species
AAAGCUUGGGUCGUGAGGUCACUGACCGUU